UACGAAGGGGGCUAGCGUUGCUCGGAAUUACUGGGCGUAAAGCGCGCGUAGGCGGUUACUUAUGUCGGAUGUGAAAGCCCUCGGCUUAACUGAGGAAGUGCAUUCGAAACUGGGUAGCUAGAGUACUAAAGAGGGUCGCGGAAUUCCCGGUGUAGAGGUGAAAUUCGUAGAUAUCGGGAGGAGCACCGGUGGCGAAGGCGGCGACCUGGGUAGAUACUGACGCUGAGGCGCGAAAGCGUGGGGAGCAAACAGG
rnacentral:rRNA from 1 species